UACGUAGGGCGCAAGCGUUGUCCGGAAUUAUUGGGCGUAAAGAGCUCGUAGGCGGUCUGUCGCGUCCGUUGUGAAAACUCGAGGCUCAACCUCGGGCUUGCAGUGGAUACGGGCAGACUAGAGUGCGGUAGGGGAGACUGGAAUUCCUGGUGUAGCGGUGGAAUGCGCAGAUAUCAGGAGGAACACCGAUGGCGAAGGCAGCUCGCUGGGACGGUACUGACGCUGAGGCGCGAAAGCGUGGGGAGCAAACAGG
rnacentral:rRNA from 1 species